UGGAAAACAUUCUCGCGGUAUCCAUCAGUCAUAAUUGCGACACUGCAAAAUAAACACGGUUUAUUAUAUUUUUCCAAUAAAAUAUGAACAAAAUAAUGGGACGAAUAAAAUUUGACAAGUUGAAGGAAGAAUUUAAUUUCAAAAGAUAUAAUUCAGUGUGUUACCGUUAUUUGACAUUUAUGUUAUACAUUUGGUUCAAAAUAAUAGGAUUAUUGCCGUGGAAAAUGGAGACCGGAUUAUUUAAUAAAAUUCAAAAAGUCGAAAAUAAAAAUUUAAAAUCAACUUUUUCAUACAUAGGAUCGUGUUAUAAUAUUUUAUUAGUUUCAGUUAUUGUUUCAUUGGAUAUUUAUAUAAUAUACGAUAUAUUACCGCCUGAAAUCGAAACCCGUGUGACAAUAGACACAGUGACACUAAAAAUUUCAUUCGUUUUAUUACUGUGUGCAAGUGUAAUACCACUUAUUUACGUUUUUCGGCAGAAACUGCUGAUAAAUGUUCUCAACCGCUUCAAAAAUCUGGACAAAAAAUUGAAUAAGUGUGCGGACUUUAAAGUAGAAAAUGAUUAUACCAAUUAUUUGAUAUUGACAAUUAAUUUUGUGUUGGGGUGUUGCCUAAUAAUGAUGAGGGAAAUGUAUUACAUGUCAUUGAAAAAAGUAUUUCUCACGAGUUUAUCAUUUUUUAUCAGCAGUUUUGUGAUAGUACAGUAUGCAAUGUCACUAAAUAUGAUAAAAACACGAUUCAAAAGUAUUAAUUCAACACUUUUUAAACUGGGAACUUCUGAAAGCAAAAUAUCGCUAUCGCGUGCGACAGUUCUUGAUGACAUUGGCAGUAUUAAAUGCGCGUACGUCGAAUUAUGUGAAAUGAGUGACGAUACCGCAAGUUUUUAUGGAAUACCUAUGUUGAUUGUCGUAAUUAUUUUUUCUGUAAAGAAUAUAUUCAACUUAUACUACAUCAUUUUGAUCUUAAUUCAAGUACAAGAAGUCGAUCUUAGAAUGUAUCAGUACCUAUUAUUUUUACUACGGAAUAUUUUCUUAUUCACUGUAUUAACGACUAAUGUCACAAAAAUAAUAAAACAGAAUAAAAAAACCGCUAGGAUUAUUAAUUUACUUAUCGAUCGAUAUGCAGCGGAUGUCAUCAUUAAAAAAAAAUUGAUCAAAUUUUCUGACGAUCUCUGGCAUCUGACCGUCGAAUUUACCGCCUAUGACAUCAUUCCUCUCGAUCGAACUCUUCUAGUAGUGAUUUCUGGAACCAUUGCAACCUACUUGGUCAUUGCAGUCCAGUUCCGCGUCAGCGCAUUUUUCGUUAAUAAUUAGAAGGUUUACAAGGUGUUCAAUGAGUGUGCGAAUUCAUAUUUAUUUGAAUUUUAAAAUUUGCUCACAUGCGUGAUUACAUUUUUAAAAAUUAUUGUGACCGAAAAAAACGAUAAUUGUACUGCUGGUUAAUAAAUAAUUUGGUAAUCCAGUCUAUUAUUUAAAAGGAAAAUUGACGUCUCUUAACUGUCACAAUUAUUGGAAAUCUAUUUAUGAGAUAUAUGAAAGCAAUUAAAACUCUUUCUCUAUUAAGUCUUUAUAGACUAUUUGGCAAACUAAUAGGAUGGACUCU